rnacentral:rRNA from 1 species
CACGUAGGGCGCAAGCGUUGUCCGGAAUUAUUGGGCGUAAAGAGCUCGUAGGCGGUCUGUUGCGUCCGCUGUGAAAACCCGGGGCUUAACCCCUGGCUUGCAGUGGAUACGGACAGACUAGAGGUAGGUAGGGGAGAAUGGAAUUCCCGGUGUAGCGGUGAAAUGCGCAGAUAUCGGGAGGAACACCGGUGGCGAAGGCGGUUCUCUGGGCCUGUACUGACGCUGAGGAGCGAAAGCGUGGGGAGCGAACAGG